rnacentral:rRNA from 1 species
UGGGGAAUUUUGCGCAAUGGACGAAAGUCUGACGCAGCAACGCCGCGUGGGUGAUGAAGGUCUUCGGAUCGUAAAACCCUGUCGUCGGGGACGAAGGUGGGCUUGUUAAUAGCGAGUUUACUUGACGGUACCCGGAGAGGAAGCCCCGGCUAACUCUGUGCCAGCAGCCGCGGUAAUACAGAGGGGGCAAGCGUUAUUCGGAAUUAUUGGGCGUAAAGGGCGCGUAGGCGGUUUUUUAAGUCGGAUGUGUAAUCCCCGGGCUUAACCUGGGAACUGCAUCCGAGACUGGAAGACUUGAGUACUGGAGAGGGUGGUAGAAUUCCACGUGUAGCGGUGAAAUGCGUAGAGAUGUGGAGGAAUACCAGUGGCGAAGGCGGCCACCUGGACAGUAACUGACGCUGAGGCGCGAAAGUGUGGGUAGCAAACAGG